ACCUGGUUGAUCCUGCCAGUGGUCAUAUGCUCGUUUCAAAGACUAAGCCAUGCAUGUGCUAGUUCAAAACCUUGCUUCGGAGGUAGAAACUGCGAAUAGCUCAGUACAACAGUUAUAGUCUGCUCGCCCGACAUAUAGCGUGGAUAACUGUGGCAAAUCUACAGCUAAUACAAAGAAAAACGCCAUUGCCGAACACGGUAGGGUGUCAUUCACAAGCUAAACCAACACCGCCGGCGUUUGCUGGUAGGAGGUGAAGCUACGUAACUACGAUUGCCGCACAUUUGCGGGGGGUUGAUUGAAUGUCUGCCCUAUCAUCUAGACGGUAAGGUAGUGGCUUACCGUGGAGCUCACGGGUAACGGGGAAUCAGGGUUCGAUUCCGGAGAGGGAGCCUGCGAGACAGCUACCACAUCCAAGGAAGGCAGCAGGCGCGCAAAUUACCCAAUCCAGACGCUGGGAGGUAGUGACGAGGAAUACUAGAGACGGGCUACAUACCGUCUCUGGAAUGAACGUAACACAAACCCAUUCUCGACCAAUACUGGAGGGCAAGUCUGGUGCCAGCAGCCGCGGUAAUUCCAGCUCCAGUAGUGUAUAUCAACAUUGUCGUGCUUACAACGCUCGUAAUCCAGUUUGAAGGUACUGGAAGCGAGAAGUAUAUAUAAGCGUAUGAUCCGCUGAAUGCCGGAUGUGCUUCACGGCAAGAUCGAGUGCCGGGAGCAAGCAUGGUUGGACCUUUAUGGUCGUCGACCUCUAAAGCCAACGUCUUGGGCGGUUGUGUCUAGCGGAGCGUCGACGUCAGGGCGCCCUGAAUAAAGCAUAGUGCUUAAUACAAACGAAUGGUUAGCGUGUGAAAGCAUGGAACAAGUUGCGACCAUCAAUAACCUACUCCCCGGAGGUUUUGGGAGGUAGAUACUUUCAUACGUGUUGGCUAUGAAGCUGGUCUCACCGGCUACAGGGGUUCUAGACGGCAGUGGUAUUUCGCGGCGAGAGGUGAAAUUUUUAGACCCGCGAGAGACCAUCCAAGGCGAAGGCACUUGCCUAGAGUGUCUCCGUUGAUAAAGAACGAAGGCCAUAGGAUCGAAGACGAUCAGAUACCGUCGUAGUUAUGGCAGAUGACGCUGCCAGCGUAGGCCCAGGGCAGCGUGAGACUGAAUCCCUGGGCCCCAAGGGAAACUUAGCUUUCGGGUUGCUGGGAGAAUAUAGCCGCAAGGCCGAAAUCUAAAGUAAUUGACGGAGAGGUACCACAAGGCGUGGAGCUUGCGGCUCAAUUUGACUCAACACGCGAAACCUUACUCGGGCCAUACAUUGGCAGGAGCACCUUGUUGAAGGCAAUGUGUGAUUCCGUGAAUAGUGGUGCAUGGCCGUUCUUAGUUGGUGGAGUGAUUUGUCAGCUUUAUUGCGGUAACGAACGAGACCGCAACGUAUGUUUGCUUACCGGGAAUAGCCUGGGCAAAACAUUUGGACCGCCAGUGUGCGCCUAGCUGGAGGAAGUGGCGGUUAUAACAGGUCUGUGAUGCCCUUUGAUGCCUGAGGAUGCACGCGUGCUACAAUGGCAACGCGACAGAGUGGCUACUCGGAGAGGGUUGGCCAAGCGACAAUGGUUGUCGAGGUCUGGACUGAGCUUUGAAACUGUGGCUCACGAAAGUGGAAUGCCUCGUAAGCGCGGGUCAGUAACUCGUGCUGAAUACGUCCCUGUCUCUUGUACACACCGCCCGUCGCUACUACCGAUGCAUUGCUUCCAGAGCAGGCUGGAGCGAUCCGCGUAGCGUGAGAGCAAAGGCCUUCGAUGGGUGUCAUGUAGAGGAAGUAAAAGUCGUAACAAGGUUUCCGUAGGUGAACCUGCGGAAG
rnacentral:rRNA from 1 species